rnacentral:lncRNA from 1 species
GAGUAACUAGUUGACCACAGAGCUCUCUCUGUUCACAGUGAGAAACAUGCUUUGCCUUGGAGGGAGUCCAUCAGCUAAUAUUAACACAGAGAAGGCGAAAGUGCAGGUUGACAGGAAAGCCUGGCUCUCCCCUGACUCAAUUCAGGAGAUCAUUAAGGACGAAGUCUUGCUGUAAAGUACACCUCUCUUCCUCCGAUGACAGUGACAACCAGGGCGCUGAAUCAGGGGCAGCCUGCUCUCCUUUGACAAACACCCACCCACUUUGGUGCUGCAAACAGAGGAAGAUACCAAACAAAUUGUGACAGCCACAGGAAAUGAUUCUACAGGAGAGACAGCAUCACAGCAGGAGCCUGUCAUCAGAGGGUUCAUCCAGCCACUAAGGGAAACAGAUGCAAAGACCCAUAGCCAAACACUAGGCAGACCUCAGUGUGUCUUGUGGAAGGGUCAGGGGAAGGAUUAAUGGAGCUGGAACAGUCAAGGACACCACAAGAAGACAUACAGAGUCAGGGUCCUUCUGUGCCAUCUUGAAGAGGACCAGUACGUCGUCCAGACACUGUUGUUGGUACUUCACCCCAAAUUUCCAAGUUUUGUAUUCCCCUUUUGCUAU